GUAAAUGUCUCUUUUUACAAGACUUUGAAAGAGAGUUAUAGAGAGAAAUAUGUGUGGUAAAGCUUGCAGAAACAAAAAAGAUACAAAAAAAGGUGGAGAAGAAAGGAACGUUCACACAUUGGGGUAGUGGUAGUGGGGUAAUGAGUUUGAGGUAACGAGAGGUGAUGGGCCAUUUCGAGGAUUUCCCAAGUCAUCGACAGCGAAUCACUCCCACUUCUCUUUAUUGCCUCCACGUGUUCUCUUCUUCCACCGAAUAAGGCGAGAGGAGUAUCACCAUCUUCCACAUGUCUAGUCUUCUUUGGUCUAGUUGGUUCGUUAGCUAGAUGACAUACUCUAAGGUAAAUGAAGUUAUAAAACUACAAGUUGUCAAGUUGGUUAGAGAUCCACUGCUAGAAACAAUAUCCGAAUUAUGUUCAUAUCAUUGGCUGUUUAGUUUU